UACGUAGGGGGCAAGCGUUGUCCGGAUUUAUUGGGCGUAAAGAGCUCGUAGGCGGCUGCUCAAGUCGAAUGAUGAAACUCGAGGCUACCAACCUCGACCUGCAUUCGAAUAGCUGGGCGGCUAGAGUCUGGUAGGGGGAGUCUGGAAUUCCUGGUGUAGCGGUGGAAUGCGACAGAUAUCGGGAGGAACACCGGGAUGGCGAAGGCGGGUCACUGGGCCUUACCUGAC
rnacentral:rRNA from 1 species